UGUAAGACACUUGUCUGUAUGUGGUGAAGCUACAAAUUCUUAACUGGGUUUUAUCCGGCUCAUCUGUGAGGAUUAUCAAGAAUUUAAGCUACAUUUACGCCGUAAUUAUUAUUUACUUACAUUUCAAUUGUUCCAAUUGUGAUUUGGCGUUUUACGCGUUAUGCGGAUCAUUAACCACAUGGCAGCAUAAAACUUAGGCUCGUUCAACACCUGUAGAGCCAUUCUAUUCUCUCUGGAAAUCAAUUUUA